rnacentral:rRNA from 1 species
CCUACGGGAGGCAGCAGUGGGGAAUAUUGCACAAUGGGCGCAAGCCUGAUGCAGCAACGCCGCGUGAGGGACGACGGCCUUCGGGUUGUAAACCUCUUUUAGUAGGGAAGAAGCGAAAGUGACGGUACCUGCAGAAAAAGCACCGGCUAACUACGUGCCAGCAGCCGCGGUAAUACGUAGGGUGCAAGCGUUAUCCGGAAUUAUUGGGCGUAAAGAGCUCGUAGGCGGUUUGUCGCGUCUGCUGUGAAAACUGGAGGCUCAACCUCCAGCCUGCAGUGGGUACGGGCAGACUAGAGUGCGGUAGGGGAGAUUGGAAUUCCUGGUGUAGCGGUGGAAUGCGCAGAUAUCAGGAGGAACACCGAUGGCGAAGGCAGAUCUCUGGGCCGUAACUGACGCUGAGGAGCGAAAGCAUGGGGAGCGAACAGGAUUAGAUACCCUGGUAGUCCAUGCCGUAAACGUUGGGAACUAGAUGUAGGGACCAUUCCACGGUUUCUGUGUCGCNGCUACGACAUACGUUACCCGUCCGUCGGGAGGUACGGCCGCGACGGACGUAAACGUUAAAACGGUAAAGUUAGUACGGCGUGAGACGUGCCGAACGGACGACCGACCGAGGGAGGUAGGAG